UCAUGGCCUGUUCUUUCCAAGGCAAAACAUCU
rnacentral:piRNA from 1 species